AUGCCGGCCGACGAAUUCCUCCAGCGCAUGCACACGGGAAAGAGAUCGCUUGGAGUAGAACUACCCUCGUACAAGAAUAGGCAGGAAAGGGGACGGUCACAUGAAGUUGUUGCCAUGUUGAACUGCCAGUUCACUCAGUCGCAGAUGAUGGCGAGGCGACAAGACGUACAGUGUGCCCAGCUCAUCCCAUGGUCGAUUGCGCUGGGGCGCUCAUGGUGGCGCUGGAAGGAUUCUCCUAGCCAAAUUUUAGCACAGAGGCGCCUUCCAGAGCACGUUGCCGCUAAUAGUGAUGUCCGGCGGCGCGAGGACAUGGUGAGGCUUCAACGAAUCAUCCAAGGCUUUGAAGGAUUAAAUCUGAGAACAUAA
rnacentral:rRNA from 1 species